ensembl:lncRNA
GUUCCUGCAGGAGCUGCCCCCUCUCCUGGAGUCCCUCCCGGGGCCCUUCCGGCGCCACAAGCUGCUCCCACGGCUGCUCGAGGCCCUGGAGCUGGGCAGCGCUGACGCCAGUGCCCUGCCCCCCCUGCUGCAGGUGGCGAAGGUCCUGGACCCCCCCGAGUACCAGGAGCGAAUCGUCCCCGUCCUCGUCCGGCUCUUCUCGUCCCCUGAGCGGGGCUUGCGCCUGCGCCUGCUGCAGCUGCUUGAGGAGUUCAUUGAGUUCCUGCCUGACGCCACAGUGGAUUCCCAAAUUUUCCCCCACGUUGCCCACGGGUUCCUCGACUCCAACCCGGCCAUCCGUGAGCAGACGGUCAAGGUGGGCCCCCAAAAUCAUCCAGGAGUCUCCAAAUCAUUGGGGAGGGAACCCCCUCCCCAAUGACCCAGCACCCAAAAAAUCACCUGGGAACCCCCUCCCCAAUGACCCAGCACCCACAAAAUCACCUGGGAACCCCCUAAAUCCCCCAGGACCCCCAAACCUCCUGGGACACCCUCAGAAGUCACCUGGGGAUCCCUCAAAACCACCUGGAGAGUUUUCUAAAAAUCAAAUUGCGACCCCCCAAACCCACCUGGGGACCCCCCUGAAUCACCUAGGCGCUCCCUAAAUGGGUGGGACAGAAUGGGGACCUCCCCCCCCCAAAUGGGUGGGACUUUCUGAUCACCUGGAAACCCCCUCCCUAAAUAAUUUGGGAACUCCUUCCAAAACCACCUGUGGGCCCCCAAAACGAGUGGGACUCCCUCACCUGGGCACCCCUAAAUGGGUUGGGUGGGGUAGGACCCCCCCCCAGUUCCAUCUGGGGGUGCCCCCU